rnacentral:rRNA from 1 species
CAGAAACUACAAAUAGAAUUGACGGGGCCCGGCGACAAGCGGAGGAACAUGUGGUUUAAUUCGAUGAUACGCGAGGAACCUUACCUGGGCUAGAACGCAAUCGGAAUCAGGCCGAAAGGUCUGCGCCAGCGAUGGCCGCUUGCGAGGUGCUGCAUGGUUGUCGUCAGCUCGUGCCGUGAGGUGUCGGGUUAAGUCCCAUAACGAGCGCAACCCCUACUGCUAGUUGCCAGCGGGUCAUGCCGGGGACUCUAGCGGAACUGCCAGCGUAAGCUGCGAGGAAGGUGGGGAUGACGUCAAAUCAGCACGGCCCUUACGUCCAGGGCUACACACGUGUUACAAUGGCCAGUACAGAGGGCAGCCACCCCGCGGGGGGGCGCUAAUCCUAAAAGCUGGUCCCAGUUCGGAUCGGAGUCUGCAACCCGACUCCGUGAAGCUGGAUUCGCUAGUAAUCGCGCAUCAGCCACGGCGCGGUGAAUACGUUCCCGGGCCUU